GACGAACGCUGGCGGCGGGCUUAACACAUGCAAGUCGAACGGAAAGGCCCUGCUUUUGUGGGGUGCUCGAGUGGCGAACGGGUGAGUAACACGUGAGUAACCUUCCCUUGACUUUGGGAUAACUUCAGGAAACUGGGGCUAAUACCGGAUAGGAGCUCCUGCUGCAUGGUGGGGGUUGGAAAGUUUGGGCGGUUGGGGAUGGGCUCGCGGCUUAUCAGCUUGUUGGGGGGGUAGUGGCUUACCAAGGCUUUGACGGGUAGCCGGCCUGAGAGGGUGACCGGCCACAUUGGGACUGAGCUACGGCCCAGACUCCUACGGGAGGCAGCAGUGGGGAAUCUUGCCCAAUGGGGGGAAGCCUGAUGCAGCAACGCCGCGUGCGGGAUGACGGCCUUCGGGUUGUAAACCGCUUUCGCCUGUGACGAAGCGUGAGUGACGGUAAUGUGUAAAGAAGCACCGGCUAACUACGUG
rnacentral:rRNA from 1 species